AAUUUAUUAGUUUAAGAUAAAAACCUUACAUUUUCAAUGUAAAAAUAAAUUUUAUUUAUAAAUUA
rnacentral:tRNA from 1 species